UGAGUCCGAGUCUCCACGGAGACGAAGUGGCGGUCAUUAAGCUUCCUAGAAAAGCUCUAACCACGUUAAUCUUUAGUUGCCUGUACCCGAAACCGACACAGGUAGGGGGGUAGAGAAUACCAAGGGGCGCGAGAUAACUCUCUCUAAGGAACUCGGCAAAAUGACCCCGUAACUUCGGGAGAAGGGGUACCACUGAGAAGUGGUCGCAGUGAAGAGGCCCAGGCGACUGUUUACCAAAAACACAGGUCUCCGCCAAGUCGCAAGACGAAGUAUGGGGGCUGACGCCUGCCCAGUGCCGGAAGGUUAAGGAAGUUGGUCAGGGAUUCGUCCUGAAGCUAACGACCGAAGCCCCGGUGAACGGCGGCCGUAACUAUAACGGUCCUAAGGUAGCGAAAUUCCUUGUCGGGUAAGUUCCGACCCGCACGAAAGGCGUAACGAUCUGGGCACUGUCUCGGAGAGAGACUCGGCGAAAUAGGAAUGUCUGUGAAGAUACGGACUACCUGCACCUGGACAGAAAGACCCUAUGAAGCUUUACUGUAGCUUGGAAUUGGGUUCGGGCUUGGUUUGCGCAGGAUAGGUGGGAGGCGAAGAAGGUUUGCUUGUGGGUGAACCUGAGCCAACGGUGAGAUACCACUCUAACCAGGCUAGAAUUCUAACUCUAACCCGUCAACCGGGGAGAGGACAGUUUCAGGUGGGCAGUUUGACUGGGGCGGUCGCCUCCUAAAAGAUAACGGAGGCGCACAAAGGUUCCCUCAGGCUGGUUGGAAAUCAGCCAACGAGUGCAAAGGCAGAAGGGAGCUUGACUGCGAGACUUACAAGUCAAGCAGGGUGGAAACACGGUCUUAGUGAUCCGACGGCACCGCGUGGAAGGGCCGUCGCUCAACGGAUAAAAGUUACUCUAGGAUAACAGGCUGAUCUCCCCCAAGAGUUCACAUCGACGGGGAGGUUUGGCACCUCGAUGUCGGCUCAUCGCAACCUGGGGCGGAAGUACGUCCCAAGGGUUGGGCUGCUCGCCCAUUAAAGCGGUACGUGAGCUGGGUUCAGAACGUCGUGAGACAGUUCGGUCCAUAUCCGGUGUAGGCGCAAGAACAUUGAGAGGAGUCUUCCUUAGUACGAGAGGACCGGGAAGAACGCACCGCUGGUGUACCUGUUAUCGUGCCAACGGUAAACGCAGGGUAGCCAAGUGUGGAGUGGAUAACCGCUGAAAGCAUCUAAGUGGGAAGCCCACCUCAAGAUGAGUGUUCUCAUGGAGUCAUCCAGUAAGGUCACGGGAAGACGACCCGUUAAUAGGCAGUAGGUGGAAGUUCAGCAAUGGAUGAAGCCGAGCUGUACUAACAGACCGAGGGCUUGACC
rnacentral:rRNA from 1 species